GUGGCGCACGGGUGAGUAACGCGUGGGUAAUCUACCUCCGAAUUGGGGAUAACAUUGCGAAAGCGAUGCUAAUACCGGAUAAUAUCUCUUAAACUUCGGCUAAAGAGAUCAAAGGUGGCCUCUCCUUGGAAGCUACUGUUUGGGGAUGAGCCCGCGUACCAUUAGCUUGUUGGUAGGGUAAAAGCCUACCAAGGCAACGAUGGUUAGCUGGUCUGAGAGGAUGAUCAGCCACACUGGAACUGACACACGGUCCAGACUCCUACGGGAGGCAGCAGUGAGGAAUUUUGCGCAAUAGGGGAAACCCUGACGCAGCAACGCCGCGUGAGUGAUGAAGGCUUUCGGGUCGUAAAGCUCUGUCAAGUGGGAAGAACCUGUAUGGUGCUAAUAUCAGCAUACACUGACGGUACCACUGAAGGAAGCACCGGCUAACUCCGUGCCAGCAGCCGCGGUAAUACGGGGGGUGCAAGCGUUAUUCGGAAUUACUGGGCGUAAAGAGCGCGUAGGCGGUCUCUUAAGUCAGGUGUGAAAGCCCGGGGCUCAACCCCGGAAGUGCAUUUGAAACUAAGAGACUUGAGUAUGGGAGAGGGAAGUGGAAUUCCUGGUGUAGCGGUGAAAUGCGUAGAUAUCAGGAGGAACACCGGUGG
rnacentral:rRNA from 1 species